UACGUAGGCAGCAAGCGUUGUUCGGAGUUACUGGGCGUAAAGGGUGUGUAGGCGGUUGCUUAAGUUUGGUGUGAAAUCUCCCGGCUCAACUGGGAGGGUGCGCCGAAUACUGAGUGACUCGAGUGCGGGAGAGGAAAGUGGAAUUCCAGGUGUAGCGGUGAAAUGCGUAGAUAUCUGGAGGAACACCGGUGGUGUAGACGGCUUUCUGGACCGUAACUGACGCUGAGACGCGAAAGCGUGGGGAGCAAACAGG
rnacentral:rRNA from 1 species